AUCUUUCUAGUAUAAAGCAGUAUACGUGACUUCCAAUCACCCGGCCCUGGUUCAACCCCAGGGAAAGAUA
rnacentral:tRNA from 1 species